rnacentral:rRNA from 1 species
UGAGGAAUAUUGGUCAAUGGGCGAGAGCCUGAACCAGCCAUCCCGCGUGCAGGAAGAAUGCCCUAUGGGUUGUAAACUGCUUUUUCGCAUGAAGAACACCUCUGACGUGUCCGGGGCUGACGGUAAUGCGUGAAUAAGCACCGGCUAACUCCGUGCCAGCAGCCGCGGUAAUACGGAGGGUGCAAGCGUUAUCCGGAUUUCUUGGGUUUAAAGGGUGCGUAGGCGGCUUGGUAAGUCAGUGGUGAAAUACUGCAGCUCAACUGUAGAACAGCCAUUGAAACUGAAGAGCUUGAGGAAUCUUGAGGUAGGCGGAAUGUGUAGUGUAGCGGUGAAAUGCUUAGAUAUUACACAGAACACCGAUUGCGAAGGCAGCUUACUAAGGAUUUACUGACGCUGAUGCACGAAGGCGUGGGGAUCAAACA